rnacentral:rRNA from 1 species
ACGUAGGGUGCGAGCGUUGUCCGGAAUUAUUGGGCGUAAAGAGCUUGUAGGCGGUUUGUCGCGUCUGCUGUGAAAAUCCGGGGCUCAACCCCGGACUUGCAGUGGGUGGGCAGACUAGAGUGUGGUAGGGGAGACUGGAUUCCUGGUGUAGCGGUGAAUGCGCAGAUAUCAGGAGGAACACCGAUGGCGAAGGCAGGUCUCUGGGCCACUACUGACGCUGAGAAGCGAAAGCAUGGGGAGCGAACAGGAUUAGAUACCCGGGUAGUCC